UCCCAGGGCUGUUCUCCACCCCUCUCCUGGCCGGGCUCCCAGAGAAGGUUCGGCGCUUCCUGGGCCAGCAGGUGCCGUUCCCGUCCCGCCUCGGGGACCCCGCCGAGUUCGCGCACCUGGUGCAGGCCCUGGCCGAGAACCCCAUGGUCAACGGCGAGGUGGUGAGGCUGGACGGGGCCCUGAGGAUGCAGCCCUGAGCCCCAAAACCCGGGAACCCCAAAAUUCUUCAGGGGAACCCCAAAAAUUCUUCAGGGGAACCCCAGAAAUCUGGGGUGGGAGAGGUGACGGAGAGGACGCUGCGAGGAUCAACGGGGACACUCCAACGCUGCGGGGACAAUGAUGGGGACGCUGUGUGGGGACAUUUUGUGCUGAGGGGACACAAAUCUCCUGAGGGGACACAACCCCCCAAAAGUGGGGACACCAGGGAUUUGGGGACACUCAAGGAUUUGGGGACACCUGAGGGGAUUUGGGGACCCCAAAUGGGGACACCCAAGGAUUUGGGGACACUUUGUCCUGAAGGUCCUGAGGGGACACAACCCCCCCCAAAAGUGGGGACACCAAGGAUUUGGGGACACCUGAGGGGAUUUGGGGACACCAAUGAAAUGAAGACACCCAAGGAUUUGGGGACACUUUGUCCUGAGGGUCCUGAGGGGAGACGACCCCCACUGAGAAGACAGUGAGUGGACACAACCCACCCACCCCCCAAAAUUGGGGACACCAAGGACUUGGGGACACCCAAGGAUUUGGGGACACCUGAGGGGAUUUGGGGACACCCAAGGAAAUGGGGACACCCAAGGAUUUGGGGACACCAAGGAUUUGGGUACCCCUAAGGAUUUGGGGACACUCAAGGAUUUGAGGACACCCAAGGACUUGGGGACACUCAAAGAGGAUUUGGGGACACCAAGGAAUUGGGGGACACCCAAGGAUUUGGGGGACACCCAAGGAUUUGAGGACAUCAAGGAAUUGGGGACACUCAAGGAGGAUUUGGGGGACACCUAAGGAGGAUUUGGGGGACACCUAAGGAGGAUGUGGGGACAAACCCCAGGAUUGUGGCCGUGAGGACGCUCAAACCCCUGCUCAGGUUUUGGGGGGGUCGAUCCUGAGCCUCCCCCUCAGUUUGGGGACCCCCCCCAGCCCCUCCCCCACAUCAAUAAAGCGCGUUCGCCCACGCGGCCUCCGAGCCA
rnacentral:lncRNA from 1 species